rnacentral:rRNA from 1 species
ACAGUCACACAUUAGAUACCCCCGUAGUCCCAGCCGUAAACUAUGCUCGCUAGGUGUCAGGCAUGGCGCGACCGUGUCUGGUGCCGCAGGGAAGCCGUGAAGCGAGCCACCUGGGAAGUACGGCCGCAAGGCUGAAACUUAAAGGAAUUGGCGGGGGAGCACAACAACGGGUGGAGCCUGCGGUUUAAUUGGACUCAACGCCGGGAAGCUCACCGGAUAAGACAGCGGAAUGAUUGCCGGGCUGAAGACUCUGCAUGACUAGCUG